AUUGAACGCUGGCGGCAUGCUUUACACAUGCAAGUCGAACGGUAACAGGGUGCUUGCACCGCUGACGAGUGGCGAACGGGUGAGUAAUGCGUCGGAACGUGCCGAGUAGUGGGGGAUAACGCAGCGAAAGUUGUGCUAAUACCGCAUACGUACUGAGGUAGAAAGUGGGGGACCUUCGGGCCUCACGCUAUUCGAGCGGCCGACGUCUGAUUAGCUAGUAGGUGAGGUAAAGGCUCACCUAGGCGACGAUCAGUAGCGGGUCUGAGAGGAUGGUCCGCCACACUGGGACUGAGACACGGCCCAGACUCCUACGGGAGGCAGCAGUGGGGAAUUUUGGACAAUGGGCGAAAGCCUGAUCCAGCCAUGCCGCGUGUCUGAAGAAGGCCUUCGGGUUGUAAAGGACUUUUGUCAGGGAGGAAAUCCCUAGCGUUAAUACCGCUGGGGGAUGACAGUACCUGAAGAAUAAGCACCGGCUAACUACGUGCCAGCCGCCGCUGUAAAAC
rnacentral:rRNA from 1 species